GGGACAGGGGGGUCUUCGCCGACCGGCGGAGCCUGUCCGCAUGUCGCGUCCGACCCGUCGGACGCGACCGGUGGCUGUCGCUCGGGGGUGAACGCCG
rnacentral:sRNA from 1 species